UACGUAGGGGGCUAGCGUUGUCCGGAUUUAUUGGGCGUAAAGAGCUCGUAGGUGGUUCGGUAAGUCGGAUGUGAAAUCUCCAGGCUCAACCUGGAGGGGUCAUUCGAUACUGCCGUGACUAGAGUUCGGUAGGGGAGUGUGGAAUUCCUGGUGGAGCGGUGAAAUGCGCAGAGAUCAGGAGGAACACCCGUAGCGAAGGCGGCACUCUGGGCCGAUACUGACACUGAGGAGCGAAAGCGUGGGGAGCGAACAGG
rnacentral:rRNA from 1 species